UGAAUUUAAACAUAUUGUGGAGUUACUUAAUACUUUUAAUUCGAGAACGGAAUACUGUGUUAUUAGAAUGUGUACUUUUCUACAUUGUCUUCUACAAGUUUCUUGAUUCUAUGCCAGCAACUAUUGGGUACCUAUAUCGAUUCAAUGCGACUGUUCAACCGAAUAUUGUAGGACAAUCAUCCUUUCACCAAAUUGUGUCUAGCGGCCGAACCUGAUGUCGUAGGAUAACCGUUCUUUCACCAGAUGGUGUCUAGCGGCCGAACCUGAUGUCGUAGGACAACCGUUCUUCCACCAUAUUGUAGGUACUAAAAUUCUCUAUCAUUUUCGUUUAUAACUUGUGGGUUUGUGUGUUUAACCCUCGGGAAACCUACAAAAUUAAAAUAAUAUUACGGUAAUUUAAUUACUUCAAAUCAUAUACUUUGGUAUUUAGAGUAGAUAAUUUGAGUACCAUAAUAUUGCCAGUCGCGUUGUUGUUUUUAACCUACGAACAUAGAUUGUUGCCUCUCCAACUGUGGGUCGGUUAUCAAUUCUCGUUCUUGUUUAGUCCGGCUUAGUCGUUCGUGCGCCGUGGUGUGGUGUGCACGUGCUUUGUUCAUUACUCAAACAUCGUAACAAUUGUUAGCGGCACUAAAGAUUUUAAUUCUGUGAUUGAAUUAGAAUAGGUCGACAUUUAGUAAUAACACACCAGUGUGGUAGUUAUUUGUGGGACGUGCGUGGUGGCCGUCGGAUAAGUAUGCACGGUGCUGUUUUUAGCAAUCGUGGAUUAAUUUUUGGUUUACCUAUGCGCGCGUGUCCGUUGGCAAUCAGUUAUCGUUUCGCACAUAAGAAUAACUUGAACUUAUAAUUAAUUCUUGCAAAUAGACAACUUUGAUGCUCAGACAGAAUGUUUGUGAGUGCACGAAUGGAGUUAGCAAUAUCUAUAGGUAAAGUGUUGGAGACGCGCGUAUUGUAAGGCAAGUUUUUACUACUCCCAAAUUUGCUAGCUGUCGAUAUGUUUAUUUAUUUUUGAAGGACUAUUUUAAAAGUUGUGGAAUAUAUAGGAAGGAUGACUAUUUAAGUAACAAUAUAACACUGGUGAUUAUAUAUACUUCUAACUAUGUAGUUGCAGCUUUAUUCAAAUUCAAACACAGAGCGUAUAAACGUACGUGUGAACAGUGCAGAGCUAUAUACAAGAGUAAGUGUAUCUCAGCGUAAGCCACUGCUCCGGAGGUCCACCAAUCACUUAAAUCAUCUAAUAGAUGGUGCCUCAUGUAUGAGCAAAGUAUUUCUAACAAUUUUAAAAAUUGUAUAUAUUAUUAUGGUUCUGAAUAAAACACAAUGUGAAAUUAUA